rnacentral:rRNA from 1 species
GAUGAACGCUAGCGACAGGCUUAACACAUGCAAGUCGAGGGGCAUCGGGACGUAGCAAUACGUUGCCGGCGACCGGCGGAUGGGUGAGUAACGCGUAUGCAACCUGCCCACGACAGGGGGACAGCCCGUUGAAAGACGGAUUAAUACCCCAUAAAACAGGGGUUCCGCAUGGGACUAUUUGUUAAAGGGUUUUCCGCGAGGGGGAUCCGGUUGUGGAUGGGCAUGCGUUCCAUUAGGCAGUUGGUGAGGUAACGGCUCACCAAACCGACGAUGGAUAGGGGAACCGGGAGGUUGGUCCCCCACACUGGUACUGAGAUACGGACCAGACUCCUACGGGAGGCAACAGUGAGGAAUUUUGGUCAAUGGACGGAAGUCUGAACCAGCCAAGUCGCGUGAAGGAAGGCGGCCCUAAGGGUUGUAAACUUCUUUUGUAAGGGAUAAAGGCCGGUACGUGUUACCGGUUUGCAGGUACCUUACGAAUAAGGAUCGGCUAACUCCGUG